UUAUCUCUCUCACUUCCCUUCUAUCAUUUCUCUAUACUCCUUUCUUUUUAUCCGAUCAGGUUAAAGGAAAAGGAAAGGAAAGGUCAGCUUCAUCGGAGCUACAGUCGUCCGUAGGAUAGACACGAGGGUGAUGUACACACCACCAUCGACACUGAGCAUGAGGAUACUUGGGACUCGUCCUCAUCUGAGGCCCCAUCCGUCAUGGCCAGCAUCGACACCAACACGAUGGUCGUCGGGAAGCCUAGGAAAUUGACGGUGGGCAAUGAUAUGGUGGAAAAAUUAACGAUGUGCAAUGGCUCAUUCAACCGUCUCUUGGGUUGUUUCGAUUCCUGUGAGCAGCAACCCAUCAUCCCUCAAGAAAUCAGUGUUUAAGGAUCGAGGAGGAGGAGGAUGGAGCCGAACAAGAAGGUUUACAAUAAAAACUCUAUGAUGAGGCAGAGGCUCAAGCAAAAAUGGGAGAAGAAUAUAGAGCCGAACAAUGAGCUCUACAAAAAAAACUUUGAAGGAGGCGGAGGCCCUAAAACAUCAGGAAGAACAAUUUAGAGAAGAACUACGAGCUCAACAAAGACAAAUGCAAGAGGAGACUAUGGCAUGAGAGAAGGCUCUGGAGGGGAUGUUGCUCAAGCUUAUCUACUAAGUAAUAAGGUCGUGUUGUAUGAGUAUGACAGCUUUUCUGUUGUUGAACUUAUGACAUUUGGUCGGAGAUUGUAACAUUAGGUUUGAUGCAAUAGACAUAAUUAUGUGAUGUAA